AAUUUACACAAUAUGCUUUUCAGUAUCAGACUUAGUAAAUAAUUGUUUUGUACACUAUUUCGUAAUGUUUUUCACUGAAAACGUAGCAUUUGGGUGUAUUUUCCGGAAUUUGCCGAGUAUCACCGGAAUGCCAUGUGAUAACGUUACGAAAAGGCAUGUGAUAACAAUCGAUGCAUGUGAUAAACUUUUCAUAUCAGCCCGCUAAGCACCAAUUCGAAAAAUAUGGAAUUUACGUAAAUUUAAUGCUAUUAUCAUACAGUAAAAAUCAUAUGUUAUUUAGUCUAAGUAUAUGAUAAU
rnacentral:lncRNA from 1 species